UGGUGGGGUUUUCCUGUUAAUUGAAGGUGGCAGUGAAAACAUGAGCUAAGUGCCAGUUAUAUAAGCCACCAGCUUCAGAAACUUUUUUUGAGUGCUGUAAGCUGGCAGAAAAAUAUGCACAGCCCCAUCACAGGCUACGGUACUUCCCCGCGCACUUGCCCUCCUGCACAGCAGAAAGCUUACUUUCAACGUUGCUCCCAUCACCUUUCCACCUGAUUCUCCAAUAGCUUCUAGAUAACACCAUACCAUGGGUUUUUUUUGCUUGGUUUGAGAUUUUGGGGGGUAUAAAUCAGGGAGAGAUGAUCUUUCAAUUUGCAGGACUCACAGAAACAGUAAAAACACUUGUACAAAGCAACAACAACAAAAAAAAAAUCCUGGCUCAGUCUGCACUCAUCAGACUUAACCCAAGGAAGUAAAAACAGUCUUAUACAAUAAAUAACCUGGUUGCUGAGAAGCAUCAAGAGAAGCCUUAGUGGGUCAGACUAAAAGAUGGGGUUCAGGCAUUUCAGCUACAUGCUGGCAAACCACAGAGCAGCCCUUUAGCUCUCCAGCCACCACACAGCAGGCUGUGCAGACACCCUCAGGGCUUGUACACUUAGUGAGCAACUGCUGCAAGGUAUUUUGAUUUUACUUUUUUUUUUUUUUGGGGGGUGGGGGUGGGGGCAGGACCAAGAGGAAAGCUUACAAACGAAGAUUACAGUUACACAAUUGAAAAACUGCAUUUUUUGCCAGAACAGGAAGCAAUAUUCAAUAUGCCAACAAGUCAGAGUCCACAAUUUGAUUGCUCACUACUGAAAGACUAUUUUAGUUAAAUUCAGGAAGGAAAUGGCCUCUCUGAUACCAUACCUGAUCCCUGACAUUGCACACUCUGCUGAUGCCAAGGCCGUACACUGUUGAGAAUCCAGCAUCAGCUUGCAUACUAUUUUAGGCAUAUUUGCAUAAGCAAGUGGUGACUGACAUUUCUCAAAUGUAAAUUAUGCCCUGAACUCAAACACACACACACGUGCACUUUUUAUUGAGUAAAAACCCCAAUUGCUACCAGUCAAUAAAAGGCAACAGGUUGGGUGAGCACAGCAGAAAGCACAAGAUCAUCGACUGACUGAAUGGACACGCUGGAGGGAAGAGGUGCCACCCAGAGGGACCUGGGCGGGCUGGAGAGGCAAGGAUCUGCAGGUCCCCUCUUCUUCUCUAUCCCCCACACUCUCUGCCAGAGUUUGGGCUGUUGCAAGCACCGCAAAGGACUGGGGAAAGACCAGACUCAUGAGAUGACAGCGUUUGCAGAAAGCUCAGCUCUCUGCUAAUCAGGAACGCCUCAAGGCAAGAGACCAGCAGAAUUCGCUUGGCCUGCCCACCAAAGUCACGGCUUUUGUAAAUAACCCCAAGAGAAGGUCCCUUGCUGGAGCGACAGGACAUCUUCCCACGUUACUGGAUCGUGCUAACCUGGAUCAACAGAUUCAGGAUGAUGUGGCAGAAGAGGAGCAGAGCUAGCACCGCCUUACUGGCCCAAAAGAGGAGAAUUAAGCAAUGCCAGGUUGUGCAGACACCCUGAAGCACCGCUGCCUUCCUCAGCAGGCGCUGCCGAGAUACUCACUUGCCAAGUUUCUCAAGUUUACUCCAUACUUCUUACACCCUCAAUAAAAAAAAAAAUAAUUUCUACUUUAAUAUUCUGAGCUCAGCAUUUGCAGAAGCAACAAUGACAGCCGGGUAAAAUAACUGGAGGUUUUUGGGUGAGGAUUCAAUCCAUCACAAAACAUUUCAGAUAAAGUCCUUAAGAACCAAUCCCGGACAUUUUGCUGCCAGCAGCAAUACAAGAUGGACAAUAUCCACAGCGUACUCCUCUGAGGCUGAGCAAGGAGCCUGCCGCACCAUCCACAGUGCACACAUCUAAGAAAAAUAUCCCAAUUUACAGACCCGCUUGGCCCUGGCUUUGAUAAGGCAACACAACUGGUCCCUCAGCAUCCUCACGCCUGCGCUAAAGGUAGCUGGGUCUCAGUGUCUCCCUGGAAGGCAAGUUUAAAGGCCCAGAAAGCACCAGAGAAAUGUAACAUGUUAUUAAUUAACCCCGGGGGUGAAUCUCGGGUUUCAUCCUCACUACCAAACCCAGAUCGCAGCUUGGAUUUCAGCUGUGACACACACACAGUAAACUGGGGGGAUAAGAUAGAAAAAUCAAGACACAUAAUCACGCGAGGCGGGUGUUUAGCAACAGCCGGGGACAGCAGACAAGGCAGAGCAGCACCAGGAGGGGUCUUACAGAGCCAGCACAGACCCCGCGGAUGGGACCAAAGAGA